CCAGUUGAAAUUAUUUUUUCAGAAGUGUAACAAUUAAAUUAUUAUAUUUUAUAUGAUUUUGUUCAAGCAAUGUUUACCUCACAUAACGAUAAGAAAGUUGUAGAAAUUGUCUUGCCAGGUCUUGCGAGACCUAUCUGAGGCUUUCUAUCAACAAACAAAUCAGCGACACGGCUCAAAACAGAUUGAUCGAUAUCGGAUUCACGUGUCAAGCCGGUGACAAAACCGAACCGGUUCACUAUCAGCUCUGAACCGAUGACUUCGUCAGCUUUAAGAUGCUCCUUUGCAAACAUCUCCACCAUAACUCGAGGCAUUCUCGUAACCACGACCUUCUUCUUGCACGAGCUGUAAACUUUCCAAGUGUCUAUGCUUACGUCAUCCAUGUAGAACUUAGGCAGGACGGCUCUAGCCACCGAUUGAAUCUCCGGUUCGCGUAAACCAACGGUGGCUACAAAAGUCAUGAGCUUGAGAGCGGCGUUCUUGUAGCUGAAAACGUCAAGGAGUGUGAUUACGGGCCAAAGAAACAGCAAGGCGGCGAAACGAAUUAGACCAGAUGCUUCAAAGGCAACGAGCAUGAAGUAAGAGAAUGGAUCUUCGUUCAGCAGUAUUGUCCCUUCAAAUUCUGACACGACAGAAUCCGAAGUCGCUCUAGCUUCCUCCAUCACCAUUUUUUUUUCUUCUCUUCUUUUUGGUUAUGUGAUCGAAUAUUAAUUUUGUGUCGACUGAUGAGAAUGGAAGAAAGUGAAAUAUAACGUUCUAUGUUAUAAGGUUUGGAUUGAUUGGUAUCUAUUGCAAUGGCAGUUUAUCAAUAUUGCACCUACCGGAAUUGUGCAUGUUUCUAUAUAUUACAAAAUGUUUAGACAAGUCAAUAUUAUAUAGUCAUAGAGAGAUGUCAAAAAAAUAGUGCACGUAAUGUUACGUGUAUAGAACAAAAUUAAUGGUUUUAAACUAACCAAUUAAUUUGGUCCAAACUGUUUUUUAAACUAACAAAUUUGGUCCAAAUUGUUGGCAGAAUGCACCGAAAUUAGGCAAUGGCUACAGCUAAAUAUACGGAUUUAGCUAGGUUACUGACCUUAUUAUAUAAUCACAGCAUAUAGUCCAUGAGAAAAAUAAUUCUAGCUUUAAGUGUAAUGUAUUAAUGUGGCUAUAUUUAGAAUCUGAAACGUGGACAAGUAUCAUGUAAAUGUAAAUUAGUGGUACAGAUUUUUGGUAGAGAUAUUAUUGAUAUAUGUUUCUUUACUGUUUGGAUUUGAUUUUGUUUUGUUUAAUUCGACCGAAGAGAAACUUACCAGUCCAACCGAAUUAGUUUAUUAGGUUCAGUUUAUUUAGUUUGGUUAGAAUUUAUCGUAUAUGUUGUAUAUUUUUCUUCUUCUUGAGUUCUUGUCUUCUUGAGAGAUUUCUUGAUAUUCUCUCGAAUCCGAAAAUCCUUAAUUUUCUGAUUCGCAUAUGUUUUUCUCUAGAUGUAUAUUAAUCCAUUUUUUCUGUCCCUCAGUUUUUCUUCCUGGUGAUAUUCUAUUUUGGUAAACUUAUAUUAAACCUCCUUAAUUCAUGUCCAGUUACUGUUUGCUGUUGGAGCAUCAUCAUGAUUCACAAAUCACCAUAUCAAGUCUAUGCAUAUUCUGUAAAUGAAUCCAUAUAUAAUGAUUUUCUGGUACAUAUAUAUGAGAAUCUUGAUAAUACUGCAGCUGCAAUCAGUGGCUUAGUUACACAUCUAAACAGGUAUGAAUCUCUAGUAUGAAAUAUUUUGUAGUUCAAAUUCUACUAUUAAUCUCUCAGAUAAGCCGGGUCACAAGAAGAUGUGUUUUCUUGUUAAAGCUCUGAGGAUUUAUGGUAUGUUCAUUUGAUAUUUCUAUUUCGUGAGAAAAGUUUGAUCCUCUCGACUAAUCCUAGUUUCCGAAAAUCAUUAAUUUUCUGAUUUCACAUAUAGUUUUAUUUUUAGAUGUACAGUAUAUGGAUCCAUUUUCGUUAUAAAAUAUUUUAUUUAUCUCAGUUUUUCUUCCUAUUGAUCUAUUUUCUGAAUUUAUACUUUUUGAUUAAUUCUUAAAGGUGUUUGCAGGUAUAUUGGAAGAUUAAUCCAUUCUCGACCUUUCUAGACAGGGAAAGUGCUAAACUCCAUUUUUGAAUUAGGAAACAUACAAGUUAGACCAAAUCUCGCACACGGAGGCAUCAUGUCUUUAUCUAUCUCCUGGUUCGUUGCAAAAAAAAAACAUCUUUUAAUCCUUAACAAACUACAAAGAUUGGGAGCGACCACUUCUUUCAAAAGUUUAAUAGUAUUACAAAAAUCAACUCCGCAAUAUCUUUCUAAAAACUUUAUAUGUAACCUUUAACAUUACGGACUGAUUGACAAGGAGAUAUGAAACACCAUUACAACAAGGAGACAAAGGAAGCACUUCUGUAACUUGAUGUCUUUGGUUGAGAUGAAAACUUGUAACGUUUGUCUGGUCAAAUCUUUGAGACUUUGUCCCUCCUUGUUUCUUAUUUUUAUUUUGCCAAGGUGGUACAGCUUCUAGAUUUGCUUUCUCAUCUGUAAAUCAUAUUUCAUUUAUAUGAUAUUUACAUUCCUAGAAAAAAAGUAGUGAUGCACUCUUGGAAUAGUCUGAACCAUAUGGUCAAAUGUAUCGCUUGUGAUAUAAGAUAAUGAUUUCAUAUUAAGUGACGAUAGCCUCGAGACUCGUCACGUGAUUAUCCUUAAGCAUCAUUUAUCUUUUAACCUAACAUUUGAUUUCAUCUUAAAUGAACGAAAAAGAGGUUGAUACUGACGAUGCCACGGAGUUGGCGGUAGGCCAACAGUAACGGAAAAUUGGCAGCCAAAGUCUUCUGGUCAACUAGUUUAUCCAACCAAAUUAGAAAAUGGUUGGCCACUAAUCCAACAUUUUCUUACCAUAUAUAGAAACUUUGUACAAAAAUGUACUAUCUUACAAGAAGACUGUAAAUUUCAAGAGAGAACAACUAAUUGAUACAGAAUAAUUCUAUCAACAAAUUAAUAUUUAGCAAAAAUCAAGAAUUUACAAUAUUGAGUAACAAAACUAUUCAUCCCCAAAUAUUUCUUCAACAUUAGUUAUGGGGAGUUAGUUUACAUCUGAAAAAGAGCAAGAUUUAUAAACAAUAAUACAAACAUCUAUGAAAACAAAAUUCAAUCCAGACUUUAAUCGCAGAUCAAAAUAAAUCAAGAGGAAGCAAUUAAAAACCGGAAUAGUAAUUUACUAAUUUGAUUUUAAUGGAGAAAAGGCUCGAAAGUGCUCACCACCUUCUUCAACUGAUCAAGAAACGAUAAAUACGAUACCGUUCCAUCGUUUCCAGCAAGAACCCUAUACUUAUCUCUCCUCGUGAAGUUAGUACACUCGAACCCUAACGUAGCCGCCAAGAUUCUCUGAACAUAAUUCGCCACGUCAUGCGGCCUCUUCCCUGACGAACACGUAGCCUCAACCGGAAGCUGGUUCAAGAACGUAACCUCGUAAACCGGUCUUGGAUUCAUAAAGAAGAAAAUCGGGUCUAAACCUUUCCAGCCUCUCGCUGUGGUCGCGUGGAAGAAUCCAACUCUAUAGUUCAUAGCAACCGGAACAAUCCUAUCCGUUAACUCAGCGAAAAGUCCGCUAAAUCUUAGCAAGAACGGUUCACGGCAAGUGGUUCCCUCAGGACAAACAACUAGGUCGCCUUUAGACAGCUGUUGUUUGAUCUUUGCUGCGUCUACAUCUCGGACUCUUGUCAAUCUCACGGUUGGUAUGGGAGAUAAGAUCUCGGAUAAGCGUGAGAUUGAGUAAGUAACGGCCGGGAUACUGCGUUCUAGCACGUAUGAUAGUACCACCGGGUCCAUUAGGGUUCUGUGAGUGCACACGAAGAGAACACCGGAGUUUCCGGCCGCCGGUGGCUGAGGAGGCUUGCCUUUGACGAUGACCUGGCCGCCGAGUAUCUUGGAGACGUACGGUGUUGUCCAAAAUGGGAGGACGGAUCCAAGAAAGAUCCGGAUGGCGGCAAGAAUGAUUCCUAAUGGGAUCCAUGUGAGGAUGAGGAGAGACGUCGGUGGAGUUGGCCUCUUGACAAGGCGUCCGUCGUGGAAUAUUACCGGAAGUGGCCGUAGCUCAAGGUUUUUGUUGCGGUGGUUGUAGUUCUCCGGAACUGGUGCAUGAAUAUGCUCCUAUAUAUAUAUGAAUAUUUGAUAUUAGUUUUAAUCAUAAUAUAUAGAAAUUAUAUGUUGUAAAACGUACAAAAAUUUGGGCAUGUUAAAUUAUAUAUUAAAUAAAAAGUGUUGCCAGUUGAAAUUAUUUUUUCAGAAGUGUAACAAUUAAAUUAUUAUAUUUUAUAUGAUUUUGUUCAAGCAAUGUUUACCUCACAUAACGAUAAGAAAGUUGUAGAAAUUGUCUUGCCAGGUCUUGCGAGACCUAUCUGAGGCUUUCUAUCAACAAACAAAUCAGCGACACGGCUCAAAACAGAUUGAUCGAUAUCGGAUUCACGUGUCAAGCCGGUGACAAAACCGAACCGGUUCACUAUCAGCUCUGAACCGAUGACUUCGUCAGC
rnacentral:lncRNA from 1 species